rnacentral:lncRNA from 1 species
GCACCGAGGCUUUCAGCCUGCGGGACAGUGGUGCGAUUUGCAUUAGAGAAAGGGAGAUGCCAUGUGCUGGCCCAGCACUCCAACAGGGGCCUGACCUCUAGGAACGGGACACUGGAGGAAGCCUAGACAUCUGAACAAAUCAAGUCAUCCAGAUCCACGGUCAGCUCCUGCCCCGACUUGGCCUUCCUCCUGCUGGGCUGGCCCACGGACCUCGGGAACCUGCCCUGGCUGUGGGUGACCUGCAGCCUAUCUCCCAGGACUAUGGAAGCCCCAUGCAGGAACAUGGUUCUGACACUUUGGGGAUUAUACCCUAAGCUUAAAGGACUGGAAAAGCCCCUGAAGUCCCGAGACCACAACCCUCCACCUUCUAAAGAUAAGACAAGUCACUGAAGGUCUCAGAACUGUGGCCCAUUCACCCCUUCCCUCAAGACAAGAGUGUGGCCAAGCAUCAAUCUCACCCCCAGAGACCAGACGGUGUCCAGGUCUUGGGCAGACGAAACCUGCUCCUUGGGGAUGGUCUUCCUGGCUGUGCUUCCAAAGGGCUGGCCUGCAAUCAGCUGGUUUUCACUUGAUCCUUUCGGGGUUUGCAUUAUAUCUGACUGAAGGAAUGAACUGGGAGAGAACAGCAGAGCCGCAGCGGAAUGUGGAAAGGCCCACGUCCAGACUGUUCCCAUUCUGAUUUAAAAGCCUGAUGAAGGAACAGCUGAACUCAGAGAAACAGCAGGCAACCUCAUGGAGACCAUGGACCCCUCUGCCAUCCCACCCAUCUUUGAACCAAUGCAAACUGUCUUCAGAACUCAUGCCCUUACAUAAACAGGCUCUACAGGCAGAUCACCUGAGGUUGAAAGGUGAAGCCACCUGGACUUCUGGGUCCAGUAGAGACUUGGAGAACUUUUCUGUCUUACAAAAGGAUUGUAAAAUGCACCAAUCAGCACUCUGUAGCUAGGAUUGUAAAACGCACCAGUGUUCUGUAGCUAGCUAGAGGUUUGUAAAAUGCACCAAUCAGUGCUCUGUAGCUAGCCAGAGGUUCGUAAAAUGCACCAAUCAGUGCUCUGUAAAAACACACCAAUCAGUGCUCCGUAGCUAGCUAGAGGUUUGUAAAAUGAACCAAUCAGCACUCUGUAAAAUGGACCAAUCAGUGCUCUGUAAAAUGGACCAAUCAGCACUCUGUAAAAUGGACCAAUCCACUCUGUAAAAUGGACCAAAUGGGAGGGGACAACUCAGGGAAUAAAAGCUGGCCACCCCAGCCCUCAGCGGUAACCUGCUUAAGUCCCCUUCCAGGCUGUGGGAGGUUUGUUCUUUCGUUCUCCACAAUAAAUCUUGCUGCUGCUCAGUCUUGGGGUCCGCAUCACCUGUAAGAGCUGUAACACUCACUGUGAAGGUCACGCUUCAUUCCUGAAAUCAGCGAGACCAUGAACCCACUGGAAGGAACAAACUCCGGACACAAGGGCAGGAGUUUGAGACCAGCCUGACCAACAGGGCGAAACACUGUGUCUACCACAAUUACAAAAAUUAGCUGGGCUUGGUGGUACGCACCUGUAGUCCCAGCUACUUGGGAGGCUGAGACAGGAGAAUUGCUUGAACCCUGGAAGCAGAGGAUGUACUGAGCCAAGAUUGUGCCACUG